rnacentral:rRNA from 1 species
GACGAACGCUGGCGGCGUGCUUAACACAUGCCAGUCGAACGGAAAGGCCCUGCUUUUGUGGUGUUCUCGAGUGGCGAACGGGUGAGUAACACGUGAGUAACCUGCCCUUGACUUUGGGAUAACUUCAGGAAACUGGGGCUAAUACCGGAUAGGAGCUCCUGCUGCAUGGUGGGGGUUGGAAAGUUUCGGCGGUUGGGGAUGGACUCGCGGCUUAUCAGCUUGUUGGUGGGGUAGUGGCUUACCAAGGCUUUGACGGGUAGCCGGCCUGGGAGGGUGGCCGGCCACAAGAGGACUGAGAGAGGGAGCAGACUCGUACGGGGGGCAGCAGUGGGGAGUAUUGCACAAUGGGCGGAAGCCUGAGGCAGCAGCGCCGCGUGCGGGAUGACGGCCUUCGGGUUGUAAACCGCUUUCGCCUGUGACGAAGCGUGAGUGACGGUAAUGGAUAAAGAAGCACCGGCUAACUACGUG